rnacentral:rRNA from 1 species
AACGAACGCUGGCGGCAUGCCUAACACAUGCAAGACGAACGAGACCUUCGGGUCUAGUGGCGCACGGGUGCGUAACGCGUGGGAACCUGCCUUUAGGUUCGGAAUAACUCAGAGAAAUUUGAGCUAAUACCGGAUGAUGUCUUCGGACCAAAGAUUUAUCGCCUUUAGAUGGGCCCGCGUUGGAUUAGCUAGUUGGUGGGGUAAAGGCCUACCAAGGCGACGAUCCAUAGCUGGUCUGAGAGGAUGAUCAGCCACACUGGGACUGAGACACGGCCCAGACUCCUACGGGAGGCAGCAGUGGGGAAUAUUGGACAAUGGGCGAAAGCCUGAUCCAGCAAUGCCGCGUGAGUGAUGAAGGCCUUAGGGUUGUAAAGCUCUUUUACCCGAGAUGAUAAUGACAGUAUCGGGAGAAUAAGCUCCGGCUAACUCCGUG